rnacentral:tRNA from 1 species
UCCCUGGAGGACUAGUGGUUAGGCCUUGGCACUCUAACCACCACAAGCUGGGUUCGAUUCCUGGCCAGGGAA